GACGAACGCUGGCGGCGUGCUUAACACAUGCAGGUCGAACGGAAAGGCCCUGCUUGCAGGGUACUCGAGUGGCGAACGGGUGAGUAACACGUGGGUGAUCUGCCCUGCACUUCGGGAUAAGCCUGGGAAACUGGGUCUAAUACCGGAUAGGAGCCAUUUUUAGUGUGAUGGUUGGAAAGUUUUUUCGGUGUAGGAUGAGCUCGCGGCCUAUCAGCUUGUUGGUGGGGUAAUGGCCUACCAAGGCGGCGACGGGUAGCCGGCCUGAGAGGGUGGACGGCCACAGUGGGACUGAGAUACGGCCCAGACUCCUACGGGAGGCAGCAGUGGGGAAUAUUGCACAAUGGGCGCAAGCCUGAUGCAGCGACGCCGCGUGGGGGAUGACGGCCUUCGGGUUGUAAACUCCUUUCGCUAGGGACGAAGCUUUUUGUGACGGUACCUAGAUAAGAAGCACCGGCUAACUACGUG
rnacentral:rRNA from 1 species